rnacentral:rRNA from 2 species
GGAUGCGAUCAUACUAGCACUAAAGCACCGGAUCCCAUCAGAACUCCGAAGUUAAGCGUGCUUGGGCGAGAGUAGUACUAGGAUGGGUGACCUCCUGGGAAGUCCUUGUGUUGCAUUCC